UCUCUGCUACAGGUCAGCUUGAUUUACAAAAGAAAGAGCCCGGGGGGAUGCGAACCCUGAAGUGAAUAACCAGCCAGGAAGUUUGGAGUCCUAAUGAUUAAGAUAAACAUAUGUUUAGAAUUCACUCCUGAGUUCUUUCCAAACCAAUGUCUUUCAUACCUGUUAUUAUUCAAUUAACAAAUGAUUCCAUUCACCCAUAAACAAUUGGCAAUCAAAGAAAUCUGUAACACGGGAUGCAUCUUGGCCACACUUACCUCUUUUUGUAUAAAUAAACACUGAUUUCAACUUCCUUUUUUUUUUCCCUUUAUCGGAUGUUCAUUACAUAAAUCCAUGUACGUUGAAGAGUCAUCAGUGCAGAAUCUCCACUUACUCAGCACCCUCACAGUCCUAACAGUAACAGCUUCAAAGAGGACAAACAAAAUCCCAAUCCACGAUCAAGGGCCUUUCCACAGCCCCCAUAAUUCGGCAAUUAUCAGCCCAGACCUUUCUUCCAGUCUUCCCAUUGACGACACAGCAACAUCCUGGUCCUUCUACCCUUUUAAAUGCUUCUUCUUUGACUUGUUCACUGAUUUCUCCUUCCUACCUCCCCCACGCGGGCAUUUAUCAACAUUUGCUUCUGCUUUCUCUCCUCUCUCUCUACACCCUUUCCUUCAGUAAUGUCAACCAAGAAUGUUGGCAGUGAGGGC